AACAGUGAAACAGUGUAACAGUGUUCACAGUGUAACAGUGUAAAGGUGUUCAUAGUGUAACAGUGAAACAGUGUAACAGUGUAAAGGUGUUCACAGUGUAACAGUGUAAAGGUGUUCACAGUGUAAUAGUGAACAGUGUAACAGUGUUCACAGUGUAACAGUGUAAAGGUGUUCACAGUGUAACAGUGUAAAGGUGUUCACAGUGUAACAGUGUAAAGGUGUUCACAGUGUAACAGUGUAAAGGUGUUCACAGUG